AUUGAACGCUGGCGGCAUGCCUUACACAUGCAAGUCGAACGGUAACGCGGGGCAACCUGGCGACGAGUGGCGAACGGGUGAGUAACGCAUCGGAACGUGCCCAGUAGUGGGGGAUAGCCCGGCGAAAGCCGGAUUAAUACCGCAUACGACCUACGGGUGAAAGCGGGGGAUCGCAAGACCUCGCGCUAUUGGAGCGGCCGAUGUCAGAUUAGGUAGUUGGUGGGGUAAAGGCCUACCAAGCCGACGAUCUGUAGCUGGUCUGAGAGGACGAUCAGCCACACUGGGACUGAGACACGGCCCAGACUCCUACGGGAGGCAGCAGUGGGGAAUUUUGGACAAUGGGCGCAAGCCUGAUCCAGCCAUGCCGCGUGCGGGAAGAAGGCCUUCGGGUUGUAAACCGCUUUUGUCAGGGAAGAAACGCUCUGGGCUAAUACCCUGGGGUAAUGACGGUACCUGAAGAAUAAGCACCGGCUAACUACGUGCCAGCCGCCGCCGUAAUAC
rnacentral:rRNA from 1 species